AGCAGUAGCCGCGGGAAUACGGAGGGUGCAAGCGUUAUCCGGAUUUAUUUGGUUUAAAGGGUCCGUAGGCGGAUCUGUAAGUCAGUGGUGAAAUCUCACAGCUUAACUGUGAAACUGCCAUUGAUACUGCAGGUCUUGAGUAAAUUUGAAGUGGCUGGAAUAAGUAGUGUAGCGGUGAAAUGCAUAGAUAUUACUUAGAACACCAAUUGCGAAGGCAGGUCACUAAGAUUUAACUGACGCUGAUGGACGAAAGCGUGGGGAGCGAACAGGAUUAGAUACCCCUGUAGUCCCUGUCUCUUAUAC
rnacentral:rRNA from 1 species